UCGCGAGAGGCCCUCCGCGCCCCGCCCCCCGGGAUCAGCGUCCAAUCCCGAGUGCGCAGACGUCUGCGAGCUGUCACGGCUCACGCAGCAUCGCGAGGUUUUGUGUUGUCCGGCCGGUGACUGUGGGCCGUGUGCAGGCGAGGCUUCCGGAGCCUGCGUGGCGAGUGGGGCUGGUCUCUCGGGGUUGGCACGGGCUCCUCUACGGCGGACGCGCUUUGUCUCGACGCACGGGAACCAGGUGUGCCCCACUAGACCUGCCAGGCUGAGACUGGAGCCUGGAUUGCUGGGACCUUGUCAAAACCACGCAGCAACAAAACCCCGACGCAAAACCCAAACCAUGGCGUUCCACACUGCAAGUCCAGCAUUCGGUGGGUGAAGGCGGGAGACUCAGAAUUAAGGUCAUCCUGAGCUUCGCACCAGCCUGAGGCUACCGGCGGCCUUGUCUGAAGAAACCCAGCCAGGAGGCCGGAGCGAUGGCCCCGCCCUGGUGGCUUAUAACCAUUCCACUUUCAGGGUUUCCAUCGCGUUCCUCUGAUCGUCGUGGGCACCAGGCUUGCACAUGGUUAGACCAAGCAGGCAAAACACUCAGACUAAAAUUCUAAAAAGAAACGUCUGAGGGAUAACACCUUUUAACCUCAACACUGGAAGCAGAGGCCGGUCUGCGGUCAGCCUGGUCUGCGUACUGCCUUCUGCCCAGUCAAGGGCAGGCAGAGCUCAGUGAGUUUAAGUUGGUGCUGCUGCACUCAGAAAUCCCUGGAGGCUGGAGUGUAGCUCAGGAGUACAGGACUUGCUUAGAGUGUAUGAGGCUCUGGGUUCCCUCUGCCACACCAGAAAACAGAGGGAGAAGAGGUAGGGGAAAGGGACAGAGAAGGGGGAAGGGGAGAUGGAUGUGUAGACUUCAAGUUCAUGAAAACUUUCUCCUCUUUUCUUCAGAAAAUUUAAGCUCUUCCUUUUAUGUUUAAAUCUAGACUUCUAGCUGGCGCAGUGGUGCACGCCUAUAAUCCCAGCACUUGGAGAGGCAGAGGCAGGUGGAUCUUUUUGAGUUCGAGGCCAGCCUGGUCUACAAAGCAAGUCUAGGACAGCCAAGGCUGCACAGAUAAAACUGUCUCAGAAUGUCCAUUUGCUGAAGACUGUAUUUUAACCCAUGAAUUGCCUGGCUUUGUGACCACAAGUAACUAUUAGUGCCACAUCGUUGCUUUUAUAAAACUGUACAGCUUCAAUUAUAUAAUCUUUACCAUUUUUAAGCAUCUUCAAGUGCAGUUCAGUGGUAUGAAGUACACUCUCCUUGUGGAGUAGCCAUCACCAUCAACCAACUAGAAAGUUUGUUAUCUGGAAGAAGUGAAACCACACCCCUUACAAACUCAUUUCCUUCACCCUUUACCCUAUUACGUACAACCAUGUGUCUACUUCCUGUGCAUAGAAUCACACUGUGAUGGUCUGUUGUUACCUUCACUGCAUCUGGAACCACUAAAAUUUAAGCUGCUGGGCAUUCCUCUAAGUUUUCUUGAUUGGAAUAUUUGAGCCACAUUUUCUGGUAGCCAUUAGAUAAAAGGACAUGGAAGGAAGAAACUUUCAUUUUUGCCUGCUUGCUGAGUCAUUCUUUAUGGUUGGGAUUAGAUACACGUUAUUUAGGAUUCCUACAGAGACUGAAGACCAGCAGCUCUCCAGGGACCUUCCAGGCCUCCAGUACAACGCCGCACUAGGAUUGCUAAACUAUCUGGCUGUAGCUGGCCUUUGCUGCUUUGUGGAUUCCUUUUUCUCACCCACCCAUUAUCGUGCCUUCCCCAUUUCACCCCCUAUCACUAGAAGAGAUAAAGGAUAGAGGGGAGAGAAUGGUCAUUAAAUCUAAUUUUUGUUUGUU